CAGCCGCCACGGGAAUACGUAGGGUGCAAGCGUUAAUCGGAAUUACUGGGCGUAAAGCGUGCGCAGGCGGUUAUAUAAGACAGAUGUGAAAUCCCCGGGCUCAACCUGGGAACUGCAUUUGUGACUGUAUAGCUAGAGUACGGCAGAGGGGGAUGGAAUUCCGCGUGUAGCAGUGAAAUGCGUAGAUAUGCGGAGGAACACCGAUGGCGAAGGCAAUCCCCUGGACCUGUACUGACGCUCAUGCACGAAAGCGUGGGGAGCAAACAGGAUUAGAGACCCCCGUAGUCCUGUCUCUUAUACA
rnacentral:rRNA from 1 species